rnacentral:rRNA from 1 species
UACGUAGGUGGCAAGCGUUGUCCGGAUUUAUUGGGUUUAAAGGGUGCGUAGGCGGUCUAUUAAGUCAGUGGUGAAAUAUGGCAGCUUAACUGUCAAGGUGCCAUUGAUACUGAUGGACUUGAGUGAAGUCGAGGUUGGCGGAAUUGACGGUGUAGCGGUGAAAUGCUUAGAUAUCGUCAAGAACACCGAUAGUGAAGACAGCUACCUAGGCUUAUACUGACGCUGAGGCACGAAAGUGUGGGGAUCAAACAGG